UACAGAGGGUGCAAGCGUUAUUCGGAAUUACUGGGCGUAAAGCGUGCGUAGACGGUCAUGUAAGUCGGGUGUGAAAGCCCCGGGCUCAACCUGGGAAUUGCAUUCGAGACUGCAUGGCUAGGGUGCGGAAGAGGGAAGCGGAAUUUCCGGUGUAGCGGUGAAAUGCGUAGAUAUCGGAAGGAACACCAGUGGCGAAGGCGGGUCUCUGGGCCGAGACUGACGCUGAGGAGCGAAAGCGUGGGGAGCGAACAGG
rnacentral:rRNA from 1 species